UAAGGAAUCUUCCACAAUGGGCGAAAGCCUGAUGGAGCAACGCCGCGUGCAGGAUGAAGGCCCUCGGGUCGUAAACUGCUUUUAUGAGUGAAGAAUAUGACGGUAACUCAUGAAUAAGCACCGGCUAACUACGUGCCAGCAGCCGCGGUCAUACGUAGGGUGCAAGCAUUAUCCGGAGUGACUGGGCGUAAAGAGUUGCGUAGGCGGUUAGUAAAGCGAAUAGUGAAACCUGGUGGCUCAACCAUACAGACUAUUAUUCGAACUCACUAACUCGAGAGUGGUAGAGGUAACUGGAAUUUCUUGUGUAGGAGUGAAAUCCGUAGAUAUAAGAAGGAACACCCAUGUCGUAGGCAGGUUACUGGACCAUUUCUGACGCUAAGGCACGAAAGCGUGGGGAGCGAACC
rnacentral:rRNA from 1 species